rnacentral:lncRNA from 1 species
CUCUCUCCGACCUCCGAGCCUGGGCGACCGACCGGGGGAAGGCACCGAUGGCGCCGGCGGAUGACACAAGGUUGGCGGGCCGCAUCGCGUCGUCCGACGUUCAGGUUCCCAAAGGAGCGUCGGCCCUGGCCAACCAUAAUUUGGCUAGGAGGUUGUGUCAGGCAACCAUUCUCCCGGCCGACCAGGAGCUCUUGAAGGACCGACCGGUGUCCGACAUGCUU